CCCCCCAGACUUUGGGGCUCCCCCCAGGAGCGGGGGCGCCGAGGCCCUGGAGGUGUUUGGACGAGUUCCUGGAGGCUGACCCUGCCGCCGUGACCUCUCACCUUCGGCCUCUGCUUGACCUCUGCCUUCAGGUGGCCGGGGACGAGUCGCGGGGCGACGCCGUGCGCGUGAGGGCUCUGGCCACCGUCACCUUCCUCGCCCAGAAGCGCCCCAAGGCGCUGCUGCGUGGGGGGCUCCUGUCCCCCGUCCUGUUGGGGCUCCUGACCCCCCUCCUGCGCUGACGCCCCCCCCGGGCGCUCCGGACCCCGAGGAGGAGGAGGAGGAGGGGGACGAUGAAGGCCGGGGGGGGCCCAGCCCCCGACACGCCGACCGCCCAG